UGCAAGCCGAGCGGUAGAGAUUCUUCGGAAUCUUGAGAGCGGCGUACGGGUGCGGAACACGUGUGCAACCUGCCUUUAUCAGGGGGAUAGCCUUUCGAAAGGAAGAUUAAUACCCCAUAAUAUAUUAACUGGCAUCAGUUGAUAUUGAAAACUACGGUGGAUAGAGAUGGGCACGCGCAAGAUUAGCUAGUUGGUGAGGUAACGGCUCACCAAGGCGACGAUCUUUAGGGGGCCUGAGAGGGUGAUCCCCCACACUGGUACUGAGACACGGACCAGACUCCUACGGGAGGCAGCAGUGAGGAAUAUUGGACAAUGGGUGAAAGCCUGAUCCAGCCAUCCCGCGUGCAGGAAGACGGCCCUAUGGGUUGUAAACUGCUUUUAUCUGGGGAUAAACCUACUUACGUGUAAGUAGCUGAAGGUACCAGAAGAAUAAGCACCGGCUAACUCCGUGCCAGCAGCCGCGGUAAUACGGAGGGUGCAAGCGUUAUCCGGAUUUAUUGGGUUUAAAGGGUCCGUAGGCGGACUAGUAAGUCAGUGGUGAAAUCCGACAGCUUAACUGUCGAACUGCCAUUGAUACUGCUAGUCUUGAGUAAGGUUGAAGUGGCUGGAAUAAGUAGUGUAGCGGUGAAAUGCAUAGAUAUUACUUAGAACACCAAUUGCGAAGGCAGGUCACUAAGUCUUAACUGACGCUGAUGGACGAAAGCGUGGGGAGCGAACAGGAU
rnacentral:rRNA from 1 species